rnacentral:rRNA from 1 species
AUUGAACGCUGGCGGCAGGCUUAAUACAUGCAAGUCGAGCGAGCGGCGGACGGGUGAGUAAUGUCUGGGAAACUGCCUGAUGGAGGGGGAUAACUACUGGAAACGGUAGCUAAUACCGCAUACCAUCGGAUGUGCCAAGAUGGGAUUAGCUAGUAGGUGGGGUAAAGGCUCACCUAGGCGCCGAUCCCUAGCUGGUCUGAGAGGAUGACCAGCAACCCUGGAACUGGGACACGCUCCAGACUCUGACGGGAGGCAGCAGUGGGGAAUAUUGCACAAUGGGCGCAAGCCUGAUGCAGCCAUGCCGCGUGUAUGAAGAAGGCUUUCGGUUUGUAAAGUACUUUCAGCGGGGAGGCGUUACCCGCAGAAGAAGCACCGGCUAACUCCGUGCCAGCAGCCGCGGUAAUUC